rnacentral:rRNA from 1 species
UUUAUGGAGAGUUUGAUCCUGGCUCAGAGUGAACGCUGGCGGCGUGCCUAAUACAUGCAAGUCGAACGAUGAAGCUUCUAGCUUGCUAGAAGUGGAUUAGUGGCGCACGGGUGAGUAACGCAUAGGUCAUGUGCCUCUUAGUUUGGGAUAGCCAUUGGAAACGAUGAUUAAUACCAGAUACUCCCUACGGGGGAAAGAUUUAUCGCUAAGAGAUCAGCCUAUGUCCUAUCAGCUUGUUGGUAAGGUAAUGGCUUACCAAGGCUAUGACGGGUAUCCGGCCUGAGAGGGUGAACGGACACACUGGAACUGAGACACGGUCCAGACUCCUACGGGAGGCAGCAGUAGGGAAUAUUGCUCAAUGGGGGAAACCCUGAAGCAGCAACGCCGCGUGGAGGAUGAAGGUUUUAGGAUUGUAAACUCCUUUUGUUAGAGAAGAUAAUGACGGUAUCUAACGAAUAAGCACCGGCUAACUCCGUGCCAGCAGCCGCGGUAAUACGGAGGGUGCAAGCGUUACUCGGAAUCACUGGGCGUAAAGAGCGCGUAGGCGGGAUAGUCAGUCAGGUGUGAAAUCCUAUGGCUUAACCAUAGAACUGCAUUUGAAACUACUAUUCUAGAGUGUGGGAGAGGUAGGUGGAAUUCUUGGUGUAGGGGUAAAAUCCGUAGAGAUCAAGAGGAAUACUCAUUGCGAAGGCGACCUGCUGGAACAUUACUGACGCUGAUUGCGCGAAAGCGUGGGGAGCAAACAGGAUUAGAUACCCUGGUAGUCCACGCCCUAAACGAUGGAUGCUAGUUGUUGGAGGGCUUAGUCUCUCCAGUAAUGCAGCUAACGCAUUAAGCAUCCCGCCUGGGGAGUACGGUCGCAAGAUUAAAACUCAAAGGAAUAGACGGGGACCCGCACAAGCGGUGGAGCAUGUGGUUUAAUUCGAAGAUACACGAAGAACCUUACCUAGGCUUGACAUUGAGAGAAUCCGCUAGAAAUAGUGGAGUGUCUAGCUUGCUAGACCUUGAAAACAGGUGCUGCACGGCUGUCGUCAGCUCGUGUCGUGAGAUGUUGGGUUAAGUCCCGCAACGAGCGCAACCCCCUUUCUUAGUUGCUAACAGGUCAUGCUGAGAACUCUAAGGAUACUGCCUCCGUAAGGAGGAGGAAGGUGGGGACGACGUCAAGUCAUCAUGGCCCUUACGCCUAGGGCUACACACAUGCUACAAUGGGGUGCACAAAGAGAAGCAAUACUGCGAAGUGGAGCCAAUCUUCAAAACGCCUCUCAGUUCGGAUUGUAGGCUGCAACUCGCCUGCAUGAAGCUGGAAUCGCUAGUAAUCGCAAAUCAGCCAUGUUGCGGUGAAUACGUUCCCGGGUCUUGUACUCACCGCCCGUCACACCAUGGGAGUUGUGUUUGCCUUAAGUCAGGAUGCUAAACUAGCUACUGCCCACGGCACACACAGCGACUGGGGUGAAGUCGUAACAAGGUAACCGUAGGUGAACCUGCGGUUGGAUCACCUCCUUU